rnacentral:misc_RNA from 1 species
UUAACAAAUUCCUAUUCGAAUUACCCAUUGGAUCAUCCAUCAAAAUCAAAUCAAAAGGAAACCUAUUCUUGACCAAAUCGAGCACCAAGUAGAUUUUCCUCUUAGGCCAAUUAACAAUGAGUCUAUGCAAACACAAAUUAGUGUUGUGAUUCCCAUAAAAUCCAGAACAAGGACAAGGCAAGCAGAACCCAACAACUUUCAAAAUCUUG